CAUGAUAUGUCCAACGGAACAUUGUUGUUGCAGUGGAUUGACGAGUUUGGAAACCCCCCAAGGGCGUAUGUUUGAUCCUCGUUAGCUUCUUUUUUUAUAUUAUCCAUUGUAUUAUUAAUACUUUACUCAAAAAAAGAGGUUCCAAUGGGAAUUGAACCACAUUCUCUAUGGUAGUUUCAGGAAAAUAAACCACUAGGCUAAUUCAUAAUUUUGUCAAUAACUUAAAACGGAUUUAUAUAUAUUCUAAACAUAUUUGGCACCCUCAGAAAAAAAGUUCAAGAUCCUCCACUAAUGACAGCAGUAGUAUGUGGUGCAGCUCCAGCAGCCCCACUUAUUUGCUUCUUACAAUUUGCGAAAUUCCAGUUCUGUAGCAUUUGCUUCGCGCGCUCAACAAUAACCUGCCCAAUGUCCGUAACAUUCUCCCAAACACGUAAAUUACGGCUUUUCCAAACACUCCACAAUAAUGUUGUAAUCUGUUAUGCUUGGCCUUGUGGCAGCUCUUGUAACAGAGUGAAAAUAAUUUCAGAUGUGGUGUUGCUUUUCUGCAUUACAGAAAUCACUUUAUUUUUAUUAUUGUUGUGAACAUAUCUUAAGAAAAUAAAUUCUAAUAUUUUAUUAUUUUUAUUUUUUCUCUUUUUCAAAUGUUGCCCCUACCUAUCAUAAAAAGCUAGAAAUUUAACAAAUAGAAAAAUAAUUUUUAUUUUACCUUAUCGAUUGAGCGAGAUAAAGAGGAAAAAAUGACAAAUUGGUAAUCUAUAAAUGCAAAAAUAUAAUAAACAAAUAAACAAAGGAUAUGGUUCUUACAAUAUAAGAGAUAAAUAAAAUUCUACUUGUUGCAAGUUUAGGAGAAAAAUAUGACUAAAAUUAUUAAGUUUGUUCAUGUGAUGAUCCUCUUUAUUUUGUUAUUUUUUGUUGUAACUAACGUUAAUGGUAAAUCAAUUUAUGUUUUCUUUUCUUAACUUUAUUGUUUAUCUUAUACAAAAUCUUUCACCCCUUUAAAUAAUAUUUGUUUCUUCUUGUUUUAUAUCACAGGAAAGUGGCCAAGUUGCAAAGAAGCUAUUGAUUGUGGAAUAAACUUUUGCAUUCGUCCUUUCAAAGCAAAAUGCAUGAUGUUCACUUGUUUUUGUGUUCAAAAUCCAUGAUGUUCCAAAUUGUAUGUCACUUUAGAAAAAAUAUUUAUCUCAAAUUGUAUGUCACUUUAGAAUAUUAAUGAAAUAUUAGUGUUAUCUUUUCUAUUAUAUCCUUAACUAUUUAUUACUCUUUCUUUUUUCAAUUCUUUCAUUUAUUUUUCUCAUAUCAUUUAUUAAGGAUAAUUUUGUAAACCAACUCAUAAUAUCUCUUUCCCACACAAUAUUAAUUACAUUUCUUAAUAUGUGUGAAAUGUCCAAAACGUCAUACAAUUUGGGAGUAUUACUUUUAUAAUUUGUCUUCACUUUGAUUUGCAGACUUAGAGAGUUAAUGAAUAAAUAGUUUUUAUUGUGUACUUGGUUUUUAAUCAAUAAUUAAAUUAUUAAUAUUAAUGAAAGUCACAAUUAUAUUCCUUAAAAAAAUCACAGUUAUAAUAAAAAAAAAAUAUUGGCAUAGAGUACUUCAUUUUUUUUAAAAGGUUAAAAAAGUAUAUAUUAAAAAGAAAUAAGUGUCUAACACAAGAUGUAUUAAAGGAAACAUAAAAGUUCAAGAAUUACAUCAUACAAUCAUACAAUCGAAGCUAUUACAAGUAGCCAAAAACAUAAUGGAAAAAAAAAAGAAAAAAAAAAAAAACUCUCUUUAAACAAAGCAAAGGUGUCGACUUUCAAGUAGGGUAGUCAAAAUCAAAACAAAUUGUAAUUUGAUUUUAACCAUUAGAAGAUUUGAAUUUUUAACUUUUUCAAUAGGGAAAAAAGAGUCGAUGUCCUGUUGUUAAAAAUUCUCUCAUUGUGGUCCUUCAAAAUAAUGAAUAGUGCCGAAAUUCAGAGAAUAUUAAAAGUUGUGCGGGAAUUUUUAGAGAAUCCUCUAUCCCACUAAAUUGAAUAGAAUGAACUUGUAGAUUACCCUAUGAUACAAAAUAAUACCUAGCAACCCUGCAGUCAAAUAUCAAAGUUGAUUGUAGUAGUUACAUUGAAAGAAUAAGUGUUUAUGGUUUUCCACAAUAUCACAACUAAACGAACAUAAAAUAUAUGUAUUUGCCAAGAUGUGACCUCUAUACAGGUUGUCUUUGGUAGGUGGGAGGUUAAUUUUAAGGUUGCCAUAAAAAAAUCUGCAAGUCUUUUUUAGUGAAUCGAGGAGGUGAAAUUGGGUUGUGAGGAUUUGAGAAGAAACACCAUCAUCGAGUUGUUUCGACAAAUCUUUGAGUGAAUGAGACUUAAAGCACGAGCAAGAAGAUGAAGUAUAAAAAAAUAUGGACUCAACGGCCUAUUUUGUCCCUAAAUUUGUAUGCAUUGAUUUUAUCGUCCCCAAUUUUUUUGAAAUAACCAAUAUGUCUUUGAAUUUUACAGACGUCGAUCAAAUUGAUCUCUCAAUUAAGUAUAGAUGUUAAUGUGUUGACGUGUCACAUUAAGUCCUGAUAUGAUGUUCCAAGUCAGCUUCCACGUGUAUAAGGAAAAAUUUGAUCGAAAAUUUUUGAAUUUUAUUUUUGAAACGAAAGUCGUUACAAAUUGUUACAUUGUCAAAUCGAUUUGAUAUUGAGUGACAUAAUUCAGGGAUUGAUUUGAUAUUGUAACAAUUUGUAAUGAUUUUCAUUUAAAAAGAAAAAAAAUAUCAAAAAAUUUCGAUCAAAUUCGUCCAUGUACACGUGGAAGCUGACUUGGAACUUCACAUUAGCGUCUAUCCUGACAGUGACACACCAACAUUGUUAACGGAAAGACUUAAUAGAAGGACUAAAUUGACUGACAUUCAUAAAAUUUAGGGACGUAUUGACUAUUUCAAAAUAUUUAAGGAUCAAAUUGAUCGAUGCGUACAAAUUUGAGGUCUAAGUAACCUAUUCACUCAAAAAAAUAUGUGGGGAAAUGACUUCAAGUUAAAAAGAUAAAGAAUAAACAAUAAAAAAAAAAAAAAAAAACAAUAAGCCAUCAUUUUAAACUAUUGAUCUACGAUCCAAAUUUAAGCUUAGGUAUUUUAAAAUAUAAAAACUAAAUAUUUAUUUUUAUUUGGAUCAUCCGAUCAAAAUUGAACGACUAUCAAUGCAUGUGAUUACGACAACAACGUGAUUGUAGGGAAUUUGAUUUUGAUGUAUAGUUAGGUGUUGUAUGAAUUUACCACCAUCGUGGUACUAUCGACUAUGCAAAGCAAGCUAUAAUUGGUGGUUUUUGUGUGGCGGGCUUACGGACGAGAGACACAUUUACGUUUUCUUCCCUCUUCAUGGAUACUAACUAUUAAUCUAUAUGAGUUGAGAUAAAUACUAACUAGUAGAACAAGGUAUUGAUUUGAGAAAAGAACUAGUAAAACUUUGUUAAUAGUUUCAAAAGAGAUACCUAUUAUUGAGAGAACAAAUAAAAAUUUGUUCAAGAAAAAGGAUUUGGGAUAUCAAAGUUACAAGUGAAGUCAUGACCCUAACAAUUCUCUCAAUUGAAUUUCUAAUGGAGUGACUGAGUGAGAUAUGAACAUAAAAUUUUAUUGUGAAUGUAUCUAUUCUUUAUCUCAUCCAUUUAUUAGAUAUUAUUGUUAACCGAGUGAAGUAUCUCUUCUUCAAGGCCUAUCUUGUUGUCACGGCCGUUUAUGAGAUUUUGAU
rnacentral:lncRNA from 1 species